UAAUAGAUGCAGUAUAAUUGACUGUACUAAGGUAGCAUAAUCAAUUGUUUUUUAAUUAAAAACUUGAAUGAAAGAAUGAAUGAAAUAUAUACUGUCUCAAUUAUAUUUAAUAAAUUUAAAAUUUUAGUAAAAAUUCUAAAAUAAAUUUAUGGGACGAUAAGACCCUAUAGAAUUUUAUAUUUUAUAUUUUUAUUAAAAAUAUAAAAUAUUUUAUUGGGAGGAUAAUAAAAUUUAAUAAACUUUUAUUGAAUUUUCAAAAUUAAUUGAAAAUUUUAUUUUAAUAAUUAUUAAUUAAUUUAAAUUAAAUUACCUUAGGGAUAACAGCGUUAUAUUUUUUAAAAGAUCUUAUUAAUAAAAAUGAUUGCGACCUCGAUGUUGAAUUAAGAUAAAAAUUAAAUGUAGAAGUUUAAUUAUUAAG
rnacentral:rRNA from 1 species